UGCUUCAAGGCUGCCAGGAUAUGCGUUGGAAGAACAAGUCUGUGGACGUCAGGAUCUAAUGGCUCUGAGAGUCACGUCCAUGGGGUAUACCCCGGACUCCAGAGUGACAAUUUUAGCAUGUGAACAAUUUGACAGGUCAAAUGCUACGAAAACGGUCAGUCCAUAUGUAUCCUCCAAAGCAUGCAAGGAUGUAAAUUUUUUUCAAAUAAUGUUCAGUUUUAAAUGGCGCGAUUACCACAUUUUCCGAACCCUGAUGAAUAAGCUGGACAGUCUUUUCGAAAAUCGUGAACAAUUACGGCGAUGGCCUAGGUUAUCGUUGAGACAUACCCCGGAACAACAACAAGUUCGAAGGCGGAUCUUUCCCUGGCAGGAAAGUGGACAGAGCUUCGACGGAGCGCGGAAAAGACUUUGUGAUGGGGAAUUGGAAACGGAUAAUGUUCAGGGCUAACAGGACCCCAUAUAUCUGAUCCCCGACAUUUACGCAGCUUUUACGCGAUUUACCUGAUCUGGAACAUGAUGGGGGUUCGCAGGAGCAAAAGUCUGGCAGACAAUCACCAACGGCCUUUUUUCGUUCCGACAUACAGCCCUUUAUGAUAAAGGAUGCGUUAUGGACAGCUGACACGCAGGACUUUGAUGCAAUUCUACCGUUCUGUACGAG